rnacentral:rRNA from 1 species
GGUUACUGCUAUCGAGGUUCGACUAAGCCAUGCGAGUCGAAUGUAGCAAUACAUGGCGAACUGCUCAGUAACACGUGGACAACCUGCCCUUAGGUUGGGUAUAAACCCGGGAAACUGGGUAUAAUACCCGAUAGGUCUCGAUUGCUGGAAUGCAUCGAGAUUUAAAGCUCCGGCGCCUAAGGAUGGGUCUGCGGCCUAUCAGGUAGUAGUGGGUGUAGCGUACCUACUAGCCUACGACGGGUACGGGUUGUGAGAGCAAGAGCCCGGAGAUGGAUUCUGAGACACGAAUCCAGGCCCUACGGGGUGCAGCAGGCGCGAAAACUUUACAAUGCUGGCAACAGCGAUAAGGGAACCUCGAGUGCCAGGUUACAAAUCUGGCUGUCGAGAUGCCUAAAAAGCAUUUCAUAGCAAGGGCCGGGCAAGACCGGUGCCAGCCGCCGCGGUAACACCGGCGGCUCGAGUGGUAACCGUUAUUAUUGGGUCUAAAGGGUCUGUAGCCGGCCGGAUAAGUCUCUUGAGAAAUCUGGCAGCUUAACUGUCAGGCUUUCAGGAGAUACUGUCUGGCUCGAGGCCGGGAGAGGUGAGAGGUACUUCAGGGGUAGGGGUGAAAUCUUGUAAUCCUUGAAGGACCACCAGUGGCGAAGGCGUCUCACCAGAACGGACCUGACGGCAAGGGACGAAAGCUAGGGGCACGAACCGGAUUAGAUACCCGGGUAGUCCUAGCCGUAAA